rnacentral:rRNA from 1 species
AGCUCUAAUAGCGUAUAUUAAUGUUGUUGCAGUUAAAAAGCUCGUAGUUGGAUUUUGGUGUUUGACAAAUGGUCUGCCUUCGGGUCUGCACUGUUUGUUGGCACUUCUUUUCUGGGGAACUCACUGCUCUUAAUUGAGGGGUGCUGUAACGCAGAUCGUUUACUUUGAAAAAAUUAGAGUGUUCAAAGCAGGCCAACGCAUUGAAUACAUUAGCAUGGAAUAAUGGAAUAGGACUUUGGUCUUAUUUUGUUGGUUUCUAAGGCCGAGGUAAUGAUUAAUAGGGAUAGUUGGGGGCGUUUAUAUUCCGUUGUCAGAGGUGAAAUUCUUGGAUUUACGGAAGAUAAACUACUGCGAAAGCAUUCGCCAAGGAUGUUUUCAUUAAUCAAGAACGAAAGUACGC